GUCGAACGGUAACAGGUGGAAGCUUGCUUCUGCGCUGACGAGUGGCGGACGGGUGAGUAACGCGUGGGAAUCUGCCUAGUAGUGGGGGAUAACUCGGGGAAACUCGAGCUAAUACCGCAUACGCCCUACGGGGGAAAGAUUUAUCGCUAUUAGAUGAGCCCAAGUCAGAUUAGCUAGUUGGUAGGGUAAAGGCCUACCAAGGCGACGAUCUGUAGCUGGUCUGAGAGGACGAACAGCCACACUGGGACUGAGACACGGCCCAGACUCCUACGGGAGGCAGCAGUGGGGAAUAUUGGACAAUGGGCGAAAGCCUGAUCCAGCAAUGCCGCGUGUGUGAAGAAGGCCUGCGGGUUGUAAAGCACUUUCAGUUGGGAAGAUGAUGACGUUACCAACAGAAGAAGCACCGGCUAACUCCGUG
rnacentral:rRNA from 1 species